rnacentral:rRNA from 1 species
UUAUUAUAGCAAAGAGGAUACACCUGUUCCCAUUCCGAACACAGAAGUUAAGCUCUUUAGCGCCGAUGGUACUUGGUGGGAAGCCGCCUGGGAGAGUAGGACGUA